rnacentral:rRNA from 1 species
AACGAACGCUGGCGGCAUGCCUAACACAUGCAAGUCGAACGAAGCCUUCGGGCUUAGUGGCGCACGGGUGCGUAACACGUGGGAAUCUGCCCUUCGGUUCGGAAUAACAGUUAGAAAUGACUGCUAAUACCGGAUGAUGACGAAAGUCCAAAGAUUUAUCGCCGAAGGAUGAGCCCGCGUAGGAUUAGGUAGUUGGUAGGGUAAUGGCCUACCAAGCCGACGAUCCUUAGCUGGUCUGAGAGGAUGAUCAGCCACACUGGGACUGAGACACGGCCCAGACUCCUACGGGAGGCAGCAGUGGGGAAUAUUGGACAAUGGGCGAAAGCCUGAUCCAGCAAUGCCGCGUGAGUGAUGAAGGCCUUAGGGUUGUAAAGCUCUUUUACCAGGGAUGAUAAUGACAGUACCUGGAUAAUAAGCUCCGGCUAACUCCGUGCCAGCAGCCGCGGUAAU